UGCUAUUAUCCCUCCCUAAUAAUAAUAAAGCACCGAUUGGGUCUCCGGGUUCACCGUCGUGUCCUUUUUGCAGAAAACCCCUCUGGUUUACGUAAUCAACCCGCAGUCCACAUGUAAAAAAACGAUUCGCUGGAUAAUCGAUCCCCAAUUUGUCCUCUGCGCCGCACUCGCGAGAGAUGCCCUCCCACCCGAUUCCACACCCACGGGAGACCGCCCGCCGCCGCGGAGGGCCACGCCGGCGAUCUCCCCUCAGCCCACAUGCCUCCUCAUUCCUCUCCAUUCCCCUUCUCUCUCCGCCCCUUGUUCAUCCGCAACGGCCUGAGCUCACCACGAUCCAUGGCCCUGUCCUUCUGCCAGCAAUGGUACAUCACGGGUCGUCCGUGGCGCUCGAUCUCCUCGUUCCGUGCCGCCCAUACUGCACUGCGCACGCGCGCCUCCUGAUCCAUGGCCGCCUUUUGCCGAGCUGCGGGAUCGAUGUCCGGCGCCAUGACCAGCCUCUUGCACAGAUCGUCCAUGACGUUGGGGCUUCUGUAGAGAAGAAACGAGGGAGGGAGAUGAGCAGAGAGGGGAGGAGGGAAAACAGAGGAAGGAGGGGGAGAGCAAUGGAAGAAAAGAGCAGAGAGAAGGAGCGGCGCCGCUCCAGCGAGCUGCGGCUGGGUUCCUCGGUGGUUGCCUGCUGCGUGGAUAUGGGUUGCGGCGCCGUCGCGGGGCGGCCGCCCAGGUGUUCGGGCACGCGGCGUCCGUGGCCAUGGCGUUCCUUUGGCUGGAGUUCUCGUAGUCGUUCCAGGAGCUGGACAUCCUGGCCUCCACGCUGGCCCACGCCGUCACCUUCAGGUUCCGGUUCUGACUGAACAACGCGGGGCUCCCUGUGGCGCGCGCCGCCCGGAGCGGGUCGGCGCCAGUGGCGCUCGCCUGUCAGCUGGGGCUGGCUGCUGGGGUGCAACCUGGUGUGCCACGCGGGGGUCGUGUGGAUGCACUUCGGCGGGGCAGCGGCUGGCAGGCGCAGCGGCAUCGGGGCAUGGGUGUUCAGUACGCUCCUGAAUGCCGCCCUGCUGUGGGGAUUCCUUCACUGCUACGGCACCGCGAGGUGAGAGCGCCGUGAGGUGAUUCCCAACCAUUGUAAUAUACAAUCCUUUGGUGUACAUAUAGGUAGGCCGGCAUUGGCAUUCGGCAUCUGCCAUCCCAGUGAGAUGACGAGGAGGUGACUGCUGCUAUAAACCAGACAAAAACAAAAUUCAAUUUUAUCAUAGAGAUGGGCAUACAUACAUGCAUAUGCGUGCGGGGGGCGACGAUUGGAUCGAACCCCACCUGAUUAACUUCUUAUACUCUGUUCUUGUGUUCAUGGCAAGGGGAAUUAUCUUCUUCUUCUUUUUUUCUUUAUUCAGUUCGGUGGUUGACACCCGAGCUGAAAACAUCUCAACCAGUUUGUUGGCCUUAACAGGUUGAUUUCAGUGUGUCAUCUUAUUGGAAAACUAUUAGCCGCAGAAUUUAGCAACAGAAGACGCGCGCGUGGCCUACGGAGAGAAUAACGCGCGCGGUAUGGCCAAGGAAGAGAAACGCGAGUGACUGUCGUGGCUCUCGCCGGACACGAACGGCGCUUGCGCCGGGCUGGUCUGCUUAUAGCUGUUGCUACUCCAGGUUUAUUGAUAAUGCUAUUUUUUUUUCAUUCUAUACCCCGUCUGAAUUUAUAGUUUAAUGAUCUGUAGGGAAGCACCGACAUUGUGCUAUAUAAUAAUCAUCUUUGAUGUGUCUACCGGGACCACCGGGUUAAAGUUGUUCUUUCAUUUCAAGGAUAUACUUUGUUUGAUGUUUUAACAUAAAAUGUAGCUGGUACAAUCGAAUUUAGAAGCCAAAAUGGGUGACCAAACAUGGUGGUGUUGCACUUGCUUGCCUUGGCUAUGGAGAGAAAUUAUGUAAUGAAAUUGGUACUUUAUAAUGUUCGGAGCCCAUUGUUAGUGCUUAUAUUUGCAGUAAACAAGUUAAAUAAAUAGGUGUGUGCUAUGAAAACGAAGGAAGAAUGCUUACUCCUUUUAACUAUUGUAAGUAUAUAUUAAUAUUUUUUGAGGAAAAGUAUAUAUUAAUAUUAGGUAGAGAUAGGAGAGACACUUUCUAUGUGAGAAUAGUUUUUCUUUCAAGAAUGACGCUCGGUACUUUUGAACAGAUCGUAUAUGAGUAUAUGAUGGAAACUUUGUACUCCCUCCGUCCCAAAAUAAGUGUCAGAAUUUUGUAUUAGCUUUAGUACUGUAAAGUUGUAUUAAGCUUGAGACAUUUAUGUUGGGACGAAGGGAGUAUUAUUUUGCCAUCUUCUUUCCUUUGUGAAACUAGCUGCAGCAGUUCGUAGUUUAAAUUGAUGCGAGGAAGUAAUUAACACAAAACUGCAUUCUUCUUACUGAUUUUCCCCUUGGAACAGAUUUUGUAAUUCAUGAUCAGGUCGUUUUGACACAUACUCUUAGGAUUUCUAUAUAUCUUAUCUUAGCUUUGGGGGUUUUAACAUAAGCAUGGUAUGAUGCUCCAGACUCGACGACAAGUGCUAUCCUCAUGAGGCUAGACAAGUCGUUGUGCCAAUCCAGCGAGAGUGUCCAACAGCGGAAAGUCAUCUGAAGAAUCAUGUCCCAGUGAGUAGUCCAGCUCCAGCAACAAGACCACAUCUGGUUUCCACCAAGAAGCUGGACCAGCGGCAUUGUACUCAGGUUUGGACGCACGGUGUGGUAUAUAUAUGUCAAGUUUAGCCGUAUGCAAUAAUGCAAUGCUUAUGGUUGGUUAUGGUUGAUAAUUCUACAAAUUUAAUUAGUGGGCAGGAAUAACUGGUCAGGCUUUCGUAACUUCUAUUUCUAUUACUGCAGCAUAAUUGUUUUUUACAUAGAGCUGACUGUUACUUCCUUUUUUCGUCAGGAGUACUAUUUCCAAGCAAACAACCAUCUGUAGAAAAAUUCGACAUAGUAAAGUAGGUUAAAAAUGUUCACAGUCUUACAUGUGUUUACACUUAAAAAAUGAACACACUUUUAAAAAGGUUCAAAAUUCCCAAAAAUGUUCCAAUUUUUCUAAAAAAAAUAUUUUCAUUUUAAUUUGUACAAAAACUUAAAAUAAUCAAAAUUUCUUUUUCAAAAAAAGACAUCUGUUCCAAAAAAAGUUCCUCAAAAAGAUGCUUCAAUUUCUGUAAAAACCUCAGCUUUCCUUAAAAGAGUCUCAAUUUUUUGUGAAUUUUAUUAAAAAAAGGAAAUUUUCACAUUUUCUCGAAAAGUAAAAAAUAAAACUGAUGGACAACUAUUCCAUCCAAAACUACUCUUCCAUCAGACAAAGAAUGAUAAGUUGCUUCUUCAUGUCCAAACUUCAUCCUACAAAAAGCAAUAAUCAGUGUAACCUUAUUAUUGAUGUUUAUUAAAAUUGGAUAUAAAAAAUGGCGCAUAAAGUAGGUUGUCCACCUUUUUUUCGCCCGGUGCAACGCACGGGCAUUUGUACUAGUAAUAAUAAUCUCUCCCUAAUAAUAAAGCACGGAUUGGGUCUCCGGAUUCACCGUCGCGCCCUUUUUCCAAAAUAGUUCCUGUUGUUUUAGGUAUUCAACCCGCACUCACGUCCCUAAGUGAAAUAACGAUAACGAUUCGCGAUAGAAAAAAAAAGGUCCCGAACAGGUGCUGCAUAGCCCCUACCGCUUCGCCUCGAUUGGCACUGGCGCAGGCCACCCUGCCGCUCGACCUCGCCUCGCACCGGAGGGAGAAAGAGAUCAGAGGACGGAUGGAAGGGAUGGCGACAACGUCAUAUUCGAAAGGGAAUAACGCUGGAAUACCUUGUUGUUGCUACCUGUCAGAGUUCAUAAUUAUGAACUAAAUUACUUGGCACUUCUUAGUUGCCAAACUUGACAGUUGCUAAGACCUUCUGUCGACAAGAUACACAAACAUACAAUUGCAUGGUAAGUUAACGUCUUCUGAUGGAUUUUGUUUGCCUUUCUUGACAAGAAAACUAUAACUAUCUGCUUACAGUUUAUCAAAGGUAAUCUGCCAGCGACAUGAGAAGUAUGUUCAUUGAUUUCAUGUGGACUAACUUACUGGAUGAUUUUAUUAAUUUCUUAUAGCUUCACUCCAAUAAUUCUCCCUAUAUUUUUGGGUAAUUCAUUUCAUCCAAUAGUUGAUAGUUGCUUCAUUAUUACAAAAAUUGAUCAGACCAGGAAAAGAGAUCUUAUGAUAGUUUUUUCGUUAUUACGAAAAAUUCAUCGGAGAGAAAAAUAAAUCCUAUCUGAUAGUUUGAUCUUUUUCCCCAUUAUCUGAGAAAAGUUCUCCCUAGAUCGCGGAUGCAAUCGUGGCAUGAGAUUGUUAAGAGUGAAGACAUGCAUAUGGGUACUAUGUAGAGUAUUCGAAGAGGUCAUCUUCAUGAAACUAGCAGAGGAUAGACAUUAGGAAAAAUGAGAGAUGAGGUGAGUUUUUGUUGUUCACCAUCCAAUUCAAGCAUCACACAAAUUAAGCAUUACUAUUCAAAGGAUGCAUAGUUAACCUGUUCAUCUUUUCUAGAGGAAUUAAUAAGUUAUUAAAAUUUGUGUCCCGUUGCAACGCACGGGCUCUUUUGCUAGUCUCUCCCUAAUAAUAAAGCACGGAUUGGGUCUCCGGGUUCACCGUGGCGCCGUUUUUGCAAAAUAAUGCCUGCACUUUUUAGUAAUUUGGCCCGCAGUCCUCAUAUUAUAUUAACUGAACCUGAAGCGAUACGAGCGAGAGAAAAGAAAAACAAACCGAGCCACCAGCCCACGACCCUUCCUCUCUCGAUCUCAUCUAGACCUCCUGCUCCGCCCCGCCCCGCCCCUCACCGCCGUCCGCGGCCGCGCGCCGCCGGCCCCUACUCCGCCGGCGCGCUUACCCAUUACCCCAAGUGCCAACACACCCGCGCCCAUCGACUACGGGCGACCCGCGGCCUUCCACCGCCGGCGACGCUCGGCGUCGCGGCCAUUGGCGGCUCCCCGGCCCUGCUACCAUGGCGCCUCCGGGACUCCUCCCCGCUCCUUCCACCUCGACAUUGGUUUUCCCAACCCCGCCGGCUUCGCCACCAGCCACUCCUUCCAGGCGCACUCUAUCCGCCGUCGUCGGACCCAUCCGACUGGUUCCAAUGGCGAACAUCGACGCGAUUCACCCGCCCACCAUCAGAUGCGACAGCAAAUCCAUAGCCCCUGGCCACCCCCUCCGCCGCCGGCGCCGGUGCCUCGAAGGUCAAGGGAAGACCCUCUACUCGGCCCCCAUCGCCGUCCGCACCGCCGCCCUUUGCCGCCGCCACCACCGCCGUCCAAAUCGCCGCCCCCAUAGCCGUCCAAACUACUCUCCGCAACACCUCUCCAUCCCACAGCUGCCGAAGACAGGGAGGAGGACGAGGCUGGCUAGGCAGGGAGGCCGAAGGUGAAGUGCAGUGGGAGGCACAUCGGUUUGUGCAGAGGGAGGUCUAUGGUCAGCUCAUUGGAAUCUCACAGGCCACCACGGGGAGAGCAAUCACGCAGGCACAUCAACCUCCCCCGCCAGGUAUGUUCAAUUGAACCUUCACUAUUAGUUGAGCUAACCGUCUCCAACAGCAACGUCCCAAUCACAAAUAAUUAUUUAGGUUUCUUACUGUGUGCGUGGAUGUGGCAUUGGAAGGAUAGAUGGCAGUACUCGUGUGGAUGCAACAACUGACUGUUAGUUUGUUCAUUCAGAGACUACCACGAACCAGUUUGAUUUGUGCUAUAAUGCUCUUGCAAAUAAUUAUAGAUGUUGGUGAAAA